rnacentral:tRNA from 1 species
GACACUAUGGCCGAGUGGUUAAGGCGACAGACUUGAAUCAAUUACAACGGAUAUCUGUUGGGCUACGCCCGCGCAGGUUCGAGUCCUGCUGGUGUCG